AAUGCGUAGAGAUCUGGAGGAAUACCGGUGGCGAAGGCGGCCCCCUGGACAAAGACUGACGCUCAGGUGCGAAAGCGUGGGGAGCAAACAGGAUUAGAUACCCUGGUAGUCCACGCCGUAAACGAUGUCUACUUGGAGGUUGUGCCCUUGAGGCGUGGCUUCCGGAGCUAACGCGUUAAGUAGACCGCCUGGGGAGUACGGCCGCAAGGUUAAAACUCAAAUGAAUUGACGGGGGCCCGCACAAGCGGUGGAGCAUGUGGUUUAAUUCGAUGCAACGCGAAGAACCUUACCUGGUCUUGACAUCCACGGAAGUUUUCAGAGAUGAGAAUGUGCCUUCGGGAACCGUGAGACAGGUGCUGCAUGGCUGUCGUCAGCUCGUGUUGUGAAAUGUUGGGUUAAGUCCCGCAACGAGCGCAACCCUUAUCCUUUGUUGCCAGCGGUCCGGCCGGGAACUCAAAGGAGACUGCCAGUGAUAAACUGGAGGAAGGUGGGGAUGACGUCAAGUCAUCAUGGCCCUUACGACCAGGGCUACACACGUGCUACAAUGGCGCAUACAAAGAGAAGCGACCUCGCGAGAGCAAGCGGACCUCAUAAAGUGCGUCGUAGUCCGGAUUGGAGUCUGCAACUCGACUCCAUGAAGUCGGAAUCGCUAGUAAUCGUGGAUCAGAAUGCCACGGUGAAUACGUUCCCGGGCCUUGUACACACCGCCCGUCACACCAUGGGAGUGGGUUGCAAAAGAAGUAGGUAGCUUAACCUUCGGGAGGGCGCUUACCACUUUGUGAUUCAUGACUGGGGUGAAGUCGUAACAAGGUAACCGUAGGGGAACCUGCGGUUGGAUCACCUCCUUACCUUAAAGAAGC
rnacentral:rRNA from 6 species